rnacentral:lncRNA from 1 species
GAAAUGUAGGUGGAGGCAACACAGCCACUUCUGAGUAGAAGCUUUAAGAGUCAGUGUAGGCUUUGUUACUUUCCCUUUUCUUUUUGUCAUGGUGACCAGCAGUGUUCCCAAUGGUAGCUGUUUUGUCAUCCUGAGUCCCAGAGGGGUGAAGACCAUGAUGCGGAGCAGAAGCCCCACCAGCCUCUGGUGGACCUGCAUCAGGAGCAAGAAACAAACCUUAAUGGCUUUAAGCCUCUCAAGGUUUGAGGUCAUGACCACAGCACAACCUAGCCUAUGCCAGCUGACAGGGGCAGAGGGCAGCAGUAGCAGUGGGAUGCUUUCCUGGAGAGCAAACCUCCUCUCAGCAGAGUUAGGACGGCAGCUUUCACCUCUGCAUUCCUCAGGCUGUAAAUGAUGGGGUUCAGCGAGGGCGUCACAACCCCGUAGAACAAUGCGACAGUCUUAUCCACGUUGGGAUCCUUGGCCUUGGGUUUGAAGUACAUGAAGGAGAUUGUCCCAUAAAAAACCACCACCACUGUGCGGUGGGCUGAGCAGGUGGAGAAGGCUUUGCACCGGCCUGCAGCAGAGGGUACCCUAAGGAUGGCAGACAGGAUGAAAAGGUAAGACAGGCAGAUGAGCAAGAGGGGGGCCAGUGUCAGGACGGCUGUGGCCACCAUUAAUGCCAGCGCAUUGAGGGAGAUGUCCCCACAGGCCAGUUUUAGCACUGCCAAGAUCUCAUAGAAGUAGUUGAUGACGUGGCCACAGAAGGGGAGGUGCCAGACAAGGAUGGACUGUAGCAGUGAGUUGGCAAAGCCUGUCCCCCAGCUCAGCGCUGCCAUCUGCAUGCAGGUCUGCCCACUCAUGAGCUCUGGGUACCUAAGCGGCUGGCAGAUAGCCACAUAACGGUCAUAUGCCAUCACAGCCAGCAGCAGGCACUCCGUUGAUCCCAGCGCCAGGGUCAGGUACAUCUGCAGGGCACAGCCAGGGAAGGAAAUGGUCCUCUGGGUUUCCAGGAAAUUGUCUAGCAUGAGAGGCACAAAGGAGGAGGUGCCGCAGAUGUCCAUGAGGGAGAGGUUGCUGAGAAGUACAUGGGGUUGUGCAGGCGAGGGUGCAGCACGUUCAGCCCUAUGAGGAGGGCGUUCCCCAACACAUUCACGGAGUAGAUGCCCAGGCAGAACACAAACAGGACCACCUCCAGGUUACAGUGCUCGUGUAGCCCCAUCAGGACGUAUUCCGUCACAGCUGUCUGGUUUGCCCACUUCAUCUCAUUCUCUCUCCUUUUCCAUCUGGACCACCCAGCUUUUUGGAAAAAGCUCCAACUGGCCUGGGAGCCCAGUGACCUGAUGUCUGAGCUGCAGCAGGUCAGCCUCCCUCUCUGGAAUUUAGUUUCACCAUCUGUAUAAUGAGGGAGUUGGACUUCAGAUCUGCAAUCUGGCCUUCUCAGCGCUGCAGUUCUGUGGACGUCACUGAGGGGAGGAUGGGGCACAUUCUAGUCCCCUAGGCUCCUCUCUGCUCUCCCCAGGAUGGGGUCAGAGGAGACAGCAGAGAAAGAUUCAUGUUUAAAAUGAUCGUUUGGAAUCCAAAGUGUUUUUGGUCAUUAACAGGAAGCAUCUUUUCUACAUUACGGUUUCAUGUGACCAAAUUAUGGCCAUAGUAUUUCAGAUUUAUUCAUCCACUAAGUAUUUAUUAAGUACCUAUUCUGUGCUAGGUAUCAGGUGCUGGGGCUAUAGCAGUAAGGAAAGUAAGUGGACAAAAGGAUUCCACACCUGUCACAGGCGCUGCCCCACUCCCUGAGUCAGGUGAGAUGAGCUCCGGAAGGCAGGUGGGUAAUGGAUGAUGCUCACCUAGUGUUCCUUGGGCCAUGAAGAUCAAAUAUUUCAGCCCCAUAGGAUGUGUAAGCUUGAUUUCUGGUCAUCUCUCCUUAAGGAAUCAUGGACCAUUCAUUAUUUUGUUUAAAAGGACACAUAAGAACGUACAUGUCUCAAUAGAGUUACUGGUCACAGGACUGAACUGUGGUCAUGAAAGCCAAGCAACUUACUUUCUGGCCUCCAUAUUGCUUUGUAGGAGAAAUGAUACUGACAAUGAUGUCACACGAGGAGGGAAGCCAGGCACGAAUCUGGUGGAGGUGCGGUCAGUUGUGACCAGCUUUGCAAAGGGAGCGGUGGGCGAGGCUGUGGUCUCUCCCAGGUGACCUCCAUCGCCAUGCAGAGCUGCUCUCACUUCUCCUCGGGAAAGGCCAGCGUCAGGUAUUCCUAGGAGGAAGCCCAGGUGUGUCCAGAGAACAGUAGUCUUGUUAGAACUGGAAAAAUGUCUUAUGGCCAGGUGGCCCCUGGUCUGAAGGAAAAAUAGGAGCUGAGUGUGAACUUUUAUCACUCAGAAGAUAUAAUCCACCUCUCCCCUCCUGCCCUUCGCUCCUGGGUUGGUUGUGAGGACAGUGCUUUGUGACAGCAGUGGAGCCCUGUCUGUCCUUCCGGGCUAGAUUUCUUCUUUCUCUUAUUCCUCCUGUUUCGUUGUAUCCACGAUUUGUCGAGUUGCAGGGCUCACCCUUUCCUGAAGAAACCAUCUCUUUUCCCAGCUCCGCACCUUUGUCCGAGAUGGAGGCGUGUCCUCCCGCCCAUCCCCAGUGGGGGGUGUUCUGCCCAUUCUCCAGAGCCCAGCACUGCUCCAUCUCUUUUCCUCCCUCUCCUUCCCCUUGCUGUUACCUGCUGCCUUCUUGUGCUCCCACUGCCCUUGGCCAUCCCUCUGUGUCAUUGUGCGCUGUGGUGCACCUGUCUUCUCUACUACACCUUAAGAGCAGGACUCUGCCUCCUUCCUACCAGCACCUCAUGCAGCAAGUGCUGCCAAUAGCAGGCACCCAGCAGAUAGCGAAUGCACGACUCCAAAACCCAGCUUUGCCUCCUGGCUGUAGUUCAGACUAGCUGUGUGACACUGACCAAGACACUUGACCUCUCUCAGACUCAGCUUCCUCCUUGAAGACUGGGAUGCUAUGUAGCUCAGAGGAAACAUACACCUGAAGGUGCUGCCCCGGGGGGUGCAAUGACCUGUUACUGAGGCUGGAUGGAGGAUGGCAUCCAUCAUCAGCUACAGGUGCCUCCUCUAUCUACAGGUUCCUGCUCCAUCUAUACUAGCCACCUCCUGGACAAGGGCUCCAGUGUCCUCCAUGACACCAGCUUUCUCCAGAGCCUGUGCAGGAUUUCCUUCCUCUACCCUGAAUCAGGGUGAUUCUUAAAGGACAGUUUCAGGAACAUAUAGGGGCACUUGGGUAAUCUUGGUCAGUAACUGACCUUUAACUAUCAUCCAUGUGAACAUCUACAGUUAGGGAUUUUCUUGGUGAUGUUUGGCAAAAAGUAAAGAAUUCCCCAAGUGUGAAGCCUCAUUCAUUCACUUAUUCAACAAAUAGUUAUUGAGCACCUACUAUGUGUUAGGCCCUGGGCCAGGUGCUGGGAAUACAGCAGAGACAGACCUGGCUCCUGCCCUCAUGGAGUUUGCAGUCAUUCAUUCACUCACUCGGUGACUUUGGACACCUCCCCCUCCUCUCUCCAGGCUUUAGAUCUCUGAGAUUCUCUCUGAGUCUGGGAUGUAAAGACAAAGUAAAACCUGAAAUCUGGAAAGCAGAACUAUAAGAGCUUUGUUUCUGAUGGGGGUGUUGCUGCAGACAGAACUAUGUCCAUCUCAAAUUCUGACACUGGACACAGGCGUGGGGGUUUCAAGCAGGCCAAGGGUGGGAAACCACCUGACUGCAUUUUUCUUUAUCACUCACACCUCUAACAGUAAGACCAAGUGGGCCUGGCGGAGGCAUUUGAGGGCUUUUGUGUGUGCAGGCUCUGGCCCGUCCUCCUGCCUUGCCUCCACCGCAUCCCUCAUGCACACCUGCUGCAGCCUCAUCAGACCACUCCCUGUCUUUUGGACAAAGCCUGUGUGCUCCAGUCCCAUCCCUCUUCUUGGGCAGUUUCUUCAGGCUGGAGUGCCUUUCUUUUCUACUCAUCCUUCAAGGCUCAGUUCACACACCACUGUCUCGUGCAGCCUUCUCUCAGAUGGCUUCAUAAAACUGACCACCCGGACAACAAGAUGGUCACACAGCUAUUAGUGGAGGUUAAGUUCAUUCUGCCUUCAUUAUAGUUCAUUUUUCUUGUAUAUCUCUCUCUGACUAGACUAUGAGCUAUUGCAGUGAAAGGGCUGUGUCCUUCAUCACUGUCACCCUCCAGUGACCCGCAGCCAGGAGGUGUCAGUGAUUGCCAUUUGAGUUGAACUAUUUAUUGACAUCCAGUGUUGUUCUGCCAAAAAUCCUGAUCCUAGGCAUGGUGGUUUGCACCUGUGGUCACAGCUACUCAGAAGGCUGAGGUGGGAGGAGUACUUGAGCCCAGGAGUUCGAGGUUACAGUGAACUAUGAUUGUGCCACUGCACUCCAGCCUGGGCAACAGAGUGAGGCCCUUUCUCUAAAAAAGCAAACGAAGAACGCUGAACCCAAGGUCUUGCCUCAAAAUCAAUUCCCCCUUCCCCCUCCAACACAUACACCGCAACAGAAUGAUACAGCUAUUGUGAUUGCUAGGAGAAGGGCUUUGGGCAGUGCCAGUCUCCUGUUUGCAGUAACACCUGCUCUUUCUGAAGAGCUACAUCAGUAACAUGGUGGGUUUUCCUCACAACUUAAAAGUCUGAUCGUAACACAUUCAUGGAAACUAGAACCAGCACACGAAACCAUUGGCUUGUGGCCCUAAAGAAAUAACUCUGUGUCCAGAAAAUGCCAUGUUACCAGGUUGCCUACAGCUUUGCCUGUAACAUGGGCACAGGCUGGGACAUCAGAUAGAAGCUGGUUCCCAUGGUGGCUGGGUUGGGAUGGGCUAAGUUAUGUUGCAGUAACGUACAACCUCAUCAUUUUAGUGGCUAGCAUGACGAAGUUUUAUUUCUCAUGCUACAUGUCUACUGUGGCUUUCCCGGUGGCUCAGGGUUCUCAGAGCCCCUGGCAGAUGGAGGCUCCACCCUGUGGGACGUCACCAGUUGUUAUGGCUGGGGAAGGACACACUGGAGGCUCUUGCUGCUCUGAGCCACAGGAGACAUUUGUCAUAUCUGCACACAGCCCACUGGCCCUGCGGCAUCCUACCACCUGCCCAGAAGGAGGAGAACCAGAAUUACUGCUGAGCAGCUCCUCUGCAUGUGGGUGCAAUGGCGUCUUAUGACUCUCAGAAAGCUACUCUAGUGGCCAUCUACCAGUGUCACGCAGUGUCACGCUCGGUCAUGGCCUGGAAGAUCAGAGUCACAGAGGGAUAGGACCUGGAGUGUCUCUGAAAAUAGCUGCCUGGUUUCACUCCCCGGUUUUACGCCUCUUGAGAAGCAGAGUGAUGCCUAGAAUGAGCCCUGGACUGGGAGGGCACGUCCCAGGUUUGAAUCGGGGCCUUUGUUCCUUUUCUGCUGUAUGACUUUGGUCAGAUUUCUCCUUCUGAGAAGUGGAGCCAAUUAAGCGAUCUCCGAUAUGCUGUAAUCUCUGAAACAUUUCCUCAUAUGUUUCUAGCAACUUCCAACCUGAGGUCUGAUAGACCCAGGGUUACUUUGCAAGCUAACUGACAUAUCAGUCUCAUUGUCUGGUAAAUCUAAUUUUAACCACUUAAUACUUAUUUUAGGCUUCACAAAUUAUUUUAAAAGAAAAGAUAGGGGCAUAACAAGAAGAAAGCUUCGGUUACAAUUUCCCCGAAAUGCCUGGAUCUGGGAUUCCUGCUUCCUGGCUGUGUGGCAGAGAAGAUGAGGAUGGCCCUGGAGUCAGACGGGACUAGGGUCCAAGCCCCAGCUCUUCCACUUGUUAACAAUGUUCUCAGCCUCAGCUUCCUUACCUAUACCAUGGAGACGGCAGUAUUUCCUUGUGGGCUUGUUUUAAGGAUCCAGUGACAGGAAGCAUGCGAAGCUCUUAGAACAGAGCCUGGCACUGGUAAAUAGUCAGUGAGCAGUAGAUGAUAUUAUUACCAUCCUGUCCCUAUCCCUGUCCCCCAGCAAAUAUUUUGGCUUUUAAAUGUUUUAAAUGAUUUCUUGAGAAUAAGCAAUGGGUCAGAUGAAAUCUCCUUACCUCUCACCUACUGGCCAUGGCCUAAAUGUCUGUAGGGAGCUGGAGCCAGGUGAGGGGAGCUGUGGUUUGGGAAGUGCCGAGUUCAUUAUGAGCAAGUGCACGGUGCUGGGAUGGGCUAGGUUCCCCGCACCUCGCCCUGCCACUGCCUCCCAGGACCUGCCUCUUGCUCCCCUGCCACAUAGACAGUCUGCUUGCCCCCUGCUUUCAGGGACCUCAUGGUCCCUGCCCAAUUUAAAGUUCAAACUCUGCAACUGCACAAAGUUGCAGGCUUGGCAGCUGUGGGACCUGGGCUUCAGAGACUCCAGGUUCCUCGGCCUGCCCCAGGAGGGCCCUGCUGAGGUGAAGUGGGCAUAGGAGAGAGAGUGGACAGAGAAUCUGAAUACUGGGUCACGUUGCAGUUCUGCGCCUUGGAUGCCAUAGGCUCCAGGCCCAUAAGCCCGGCUUCACUAGGCCUGGGUGUCUGGGUUGUGAAAUGGGGUGUCUCCUUCCAGGAUUGCCGUAAGGACCUGGAUUCAUCAAAGCUUAAAGUAAAUUGCUUUGUAAGGUGGGAGACACCGAGUACAGGCGAGGGACUUUAUUAGGUCAGGGAUUUAAUCAGGCAUCUGUUUUUACAGAUUUCUUUAUUCCUGUUCCCUCCCCUCCCCUUCCUGUCCUUUCACAAUAAAGAAUAACAACUUGACACAGCUUAGAGACUAAAAAUCAUCCUUCAAUAAAGCAGCAGAAGUUGCAAAGUUUCCUAUGAUGCUAUAA